CAGACAGAGACUGACAGACAGACAGAGACAGACAGACAGACAGACAGGCAGUCUCUGUUUCUCUCUACCAUGUGUCCUGGAUUGCCUGAAGUGGUGUCAUCUCUCUCUCCGUUCUCCAUGUCUCUGACCUGCAGUUGAUCCACCUCUCUUACUUCAAUCACUCCUUCCACCGACCUGAGAGGCGGAGAAAGAGGGAGGGUUUAAAGAGGGGUAGAGAGAGAGAGAGGGUUUAAAGAGGGUAGAGAGACGUAGGGUUUAAAGAGGGUAGAGAGGUAGGGUUUAAAGGGGGGUAGAGAGAGAGGUUUUAAAGAGGGUAGAGAGACGUAGGGUUUAAAGAGGGUAGAGAGGUAGGGUUUAAAGAGGGGUAGAGAGACGUAGGGUUUAAAGAGGGGUAGAGAGACGUAGGGUUUAAAGAGGGUAGAAAGAGAGAGGGUUUAAAGAGGGUAGAGAGAUGUAGGGUUUAAAGAGGGUAGAGAGAGAGAGGGUUUAAAGAGGGUAGAGAGGUAGGGUUUAAAGGAGGGUAGAGAGAGAGGGUUUAAAGAGGGUAGAGAGAGAGAGGGUUUAAAGAGGGUAGAGAGGUAGGAUUUAAAGAGGGUAGAGAGAGGGUUUAAAGAGGGUAGAGAGACGUAGAGUUUAAAGAGGGUAGAGAGGUAGGGUUUAAAGAGGGUAGAGAGACGUAGGGUUUAAAGAGGGUAGAGAGACGUAGGGUUUAAAGAGGGUAGAGAGAGAGAGGGUUUAAAGAGGGUAGAGAGACAUAGGGUUUAAAGAGGGUAGAGAGGUAGGGUUUAAAGGGGGGUAGAGAGAGAGGGUUUAAAGAGGGUAGAGAGACGUAGGGUUUAAAGAGGGUAGAGAGACGUAGGGUUUAAAAAGGGGUAGAGAGACGUAGGGUUUAAAGAGGGUAGAGAGAGAGAGGUUUUAAGAGGGUAGAGAGACGUAGGGUUUAAAGAGGGUAGAGAGAGAGGGUUUAAAGAGGGUAGAGAGACGUAGGGUUUAAAGAGGGUAGAGAGACGUAGGGUUUAAAGAGGGGUAGAGAGACGUAGGGUUUAAAGAGGGUAGAGAGACGUAGUGUUUAAAGAGGGUAGAGAGGUAGGGUUUAAAGAGGGGUAGAGAGAGAGAGGGUUUAAAGAGGGGGUAAAGAGACGUAGGGUUUAAAGAGGGUAGAGAGAUGUAGGGUUUAAAGAGGGGUAGAGAGACGUAGGGUUUAAAGAGGGUAGAGAGACAGAGGGUUUAAAGAGGGUAGAGAGACGUAGGGUUUAAAGAGGGUAGAGAGAUGUAGGGUUUAAAGGGGGGUAGAGAGACGUAGGGUUUAAAGAGGGUAGAGAGUGACCACUCUGAAAAAGUACAUAACAUCAAUAGCAAUACUUUGCUGUGACACAAGGUUUUCUAUUGCUUCUAACUCUAUUUCACAUUUCGGGAAUAAAAGCAUAAAACAAUUGUUUAUAGAACAGGAUCCUCCUUUUCAAGUUAAUUAUUUGUCUGUUUCAUUCAUUGUGGUUCUGUAUUCUCCUAUCCAACACAGGUGAAAUCCAGAAGGCUAACAUUUAUAAAACUGGGCCUAGAAGACCCAGUAUUACCUGUGAAGCAAUGCAUGUCUCUGACAGACCCUGGGAUCGAACCUGUCUAUAGACUCCCACGCUAGAACGUUCCGCUGAAAGUUAAAACAUGUUGACAGCGCUCUUGUCAACCUCUCUGGAUGGGGAAAUGAAAGAGGAACAGUUUGGCUCAUAGGCAUGAACAUAUACUGGGCUGAGAUUGUCCCCUCCCACUUCCCUGUAAAGACCCAUCUCUAGUAGCCAUAGUGACCCUGAGUUAGGUAUAGGAGUUCUAGCCAAGAGGAAACAGGAAUGCAGAACAUAAACUGUGUCAGGUCAGGUUAACUAAGUCAGGCUUAAGGUUAAUGUUAAUUCAAAUUGAAAUUAGUCAGACUUAAAGGUGUGUGUUGAAAUCGAGGGAGAGUUGGGUCUCCUUAGUCUUGAGGAGAUCUCUUUUAGAGUAGGAGGUGUAGCCUAGAAAACCCCUCUAAAAAGACAGGUGGAAAUAAGGGUGGGGGGGGGCUAGAGAGGAGGAGGUCAGGGUCCCAGGAAGGGAGAGAAAGGGGGAGGGAAGAGAGGAGGAGGUCAGGGUCCCAGGAAGGGACAGAGAGGGGGAGGGAGGAGAGGAGGAGGUCAGGGUCCCAGGAAGAAACAGAGAGGGGGAGGGAGGAGAGGAGGAGGUCAGGGUCCCAGGAAGGGAGAGAGAGGGAAGAGAGGAGGAGGUCAGGGUCCCAGGAAGGGAGAGAGAGGGAAGAGAGGAGGAGGUCAGGGUCCCAGGAAGGGAGAGAGAGGGAAGAGAGGAGGAGGUCAGGGUCCCAGGAUGAGACAGAGAGGGACAUUUAAUUUCACUAAAACAUUUGUCAACAUUCUCAUCUUAGUAAAUGAACAUCGCUCUUACAUAAAGAGCUUACAGUUUUCCACAACAAUAUCACCACUACAAUCACCUUCAUUACAAUCUCUUAACAGUAAAACCUCCUUUGGUCAACACUGUACUGGUAUAAAGUAGUGUACUAUAUAGGGAAUAGGGUGUCAUCUCUCCAUAGGGUCCUGGUCUAAAGUAGUGUACUAUAUAGGGAAUAGGGUGUCAUCUCUCCAUAGGGUCCUGGUCUAAAGUAGUGUACUAUAUAGGGAAUAGGGUGUCAUCUCUCCAUAGGGUCCUGGUAUAAAGUAGUGUACUAUAUAGGGAAUAGGGUGUCAUCUCUCCAUAGGGUCCUGGUCUAAAGUAGUGUACUAUAUAGGGAAUAGGGUGUCAUCUCUCCAUAGGGGCCUGGUAUAAAGUAGUGUACUAUAUAGGGAAUAGAGUGUCAUCUCUCCAUAGGGUCCUGGUAUAAAGUAGUGUACUAUAUAGGGAAUAGGGUGUCAUCUCUCCAUAUAGUCCUGGUAUAAAGUAGUGUACUAUAUAGGGAAUAGGGUGUUAUCUGUUGGUUGACAUUAACUUAAUAGAAUCUAGCAGAAACCAUCAUGUUGUUAGGUCGUCAUGUUCUGACCGUCAUGUUGUUAGGUCGUCAUGUUCUGACCGUCAUGUUGUUAGGUCGUCAUGUUCUGACCGUCAUGUUGUUAGGUCAUCAUGUUCUGACCGUCAUGUUGUUAGGUCAUCAUGUUCUGACCGUCAUGUUGUUAUGUCGUCAUGUUCUGAC
ensembl:lncRNA